UCACCACGCAUCCCGCCUUCUCGGCCGCCCUCAUGGAGGGCCCCCACUGCCGCGCCAUGUCCUCCAGAACGGUGCACACGGGGUUUUCGGAGGAACGAGGGAGACAGCGAGGACCCCGGUCGGGACCCACGGGUCCCACGCAGCGCCACCCAAAGCUGGAAGCGAGAGAGUCCCGUGAUUCUCCCUUAAUGACACUCAAGCCUCCAGCACGAACCGUUCGUUAUGCAUCAGGUUUUUCUGCUUACAGCACAUUAAAGAGUCCCCAGUCACAGCCAGCAGCCAAGGAAGGAAACAACUUUUGCUUCCCCACCCCCACCACACACACAACAAACAUCAGGAGAUGUUCAAACUCAGAACCAACCAACGCAAAUAAAUGAAAAAAUAAAUGGCAGAAGAUAGCAAGUUUGUUUU